UUCCGGUUGAUCCCGCCGGACCUGACUGCUAUCGGAUUGAUACUAAGCCAUGCGAGUCUUUGCAGUAAUACAAGGCAGACGGCUCAGUAACACGUAGUCAACCUACCCUAUGGACAAGAAUAAUCUCGGGAAACUGGGCAUAAUUCUUGAUAGAUCAUAAUGCCUGGAAUGGUUUAUGGUUAAAAUGAUUCGUCGCCAUAGGAUGGGACUGCGGCCUAUCAGCUUGUUGGUGAGGUAAUGGCCCACCAAGGCGAUUACAGGUACGGGCUCUGAGAGGAGAAGCCCGGAGAUGGGUACUGAGACACGGACCCAGGCCCUAUGGGGCGCAGCAGGCGAGAAAACUUUGCAAUGUGCGAAAGCACGACAAGGUUAAUCCGAGUGAUUUCUGCUAAAGAAAUCUUUUGCCAGUCAUAAAACCACUGGUGAAUAAGGGGUGGGCAAGUUCUGGUGUCAGCCGCCGCGGUAAAACCAGCACCUCAAGUGGUCAGGAUGAUUAUUGGGCCUAAAGCAUCCGUAGCCGGCUUUGUUAGUUUUCGGUUAAAUCCAUGUGCUCAACGCAUGGGCUGCCGAAAAUACUGCAUGGCUAGGGAGUGGGAGAGGUAGACGGUACUCAGUAGGAAGGGGUAAAAUCCUUUGAUCUAUUGAUGACCACCUGUGGCGAAGGCGGUCUACCAGAACACGUUCGACGGUGAGGGAUGAAAGCUGGGGGAGCAAACCGGAUUAGAUACCCGGGUAGUCCCAGCUGUAAACGAUGCAGACUCGAUGAUGCAUUGGCAUAAUAGCCAUUGCAGUGUCGCAGGGAAGCCGUUAAGUCUGCCGCCUGGGAAGUACGUACGCAAGUAUGAGACUUAAAGGAAUUGGCGGGGGAGCACCACAAGGGGUGAAGCCUGCGGUUCAAUUGGAAUCAACGCCGGA
rnacentral:rRNA from 1 species